rnacentral:rRNA from 1 species
UACGUAGGGUGCAAGCGUUGUCCGGAAUUAUUGGGCGUAAAGAGCUCGUAGGCAGCCAGGUAGGUCUGCUGUGAAAACUCGAGGCUCAACCUCGAGACGUCGGCGGAAACCAUCUGGCUAGAGUCCGGAAGAGGAGAGUGGAAUUCCUGGUGUAGCGGUGAAAUGCGCAGAUAUCAGGAAGAACACCCGUGGCGAAGGCGGCUCUCUGGGACGGUACUGACGCUGAGACGCGAAAGCGUGGGGAGCGAACAGG